rnacentral:rRNA from 1 species
UCCAGAGGUCCCAAGCGUUGUUCGGAUUCACUGGGCGUAAAGGGUGCGUAGGCGGUCGGGUAAGUCUGAUGUGAAAUCUCACAGCUUAACUGUGAAACUGCAUUGGAUACUAUCCGGCUCGAGGAAUGGAGGGGAGACUGGAAUACUUGGUGUAGCAGUGAAAUGCGUAGAUAUCAAGUGGAACACCAGUGGCGAAGGCGAGUCUCUGGACAUUUCCUGACGCUGAGGCACGAAAGCCAGGGGAGCAAACGGG